rnacentral:rRNA from 1 species
AGCAGUCGCCGCGGUAAUACGAAGGGGGCUAGCGUUGUUCGGAUUUACUGGGCGUAAAGCGCACGUAGGCGGACUUUUAAGUCAGGGGUGAAAUCCCGGGGCUCAACCCCGGAACUGCCUUUGAUACUGGAAGUCUUGAGUAUGGUAGAGGUGAGUGGAAUUCCGAGUGUAGAGGUGAAAUUCGUAGAUAUUCGGAGGAACACCAGUGGCGAAGGCGGCUCACUGGACCAUUACUGACGCUGAGGUGCGAAAGCGUGGGGAGCAAACAGGAUUAGAGACCCCGGUAGUCCCUGUCUCUUAUAC